UGUUAUUUCCAUCUUAAUACUAUUUUGUAUUGAAAGUAAAUCAGGCAUAGAAUGAUUUGGGUGUUAUUAUUGCCUUGUUAAUGCUGAAUGAUGACUAAAAAUCCAACUCCGAAUUCCACUUCAGCUGGGAAUACAUGUAGAGGAUGUAGUGCUGAAAUUUGUGAACAGAUGUCAUGCUGUAUUCCUACCUUUGUUUUCUCUCUCAUUUUGCGGAUUAAUUUUUCAGGUUAGGCAAUGCUCUGUCAGCUGUGGGUUUUUCAGCCACCAGGAAGCCAGUCAGGUGCUGGAUGGAGGUCAUCCCAGCUCAUUGUAUGAUGGAGGGGUAGCCUGUCUGCCAAGUUCUCAGCAAACCAACAUUUCAGUGGCAGUUUACUUGCUUCAGAGAUCAGAGCAAUACAAUUACAAGUAGAGUGAUCUAUAGUGUAAAGCUGUAUUCACUCAGAGGCAGCACAGCCAAGUUCCUGGUAAACUAACAGUUGAGAGGCGGUAUACUUCACACUGUGUGGGCACAACUGAAUGAAGUAUGCAGUGACUAAGGAGCAUCAUGGAGAAUUAUGCUCCAUUUAAGUGAUGGGGUGAUGACUCCUGCUCCAAGAGGUUCUGGUUACAUGCAGAAUCGAUGGGAAUCACUGCUGGUUUGUGAUCUUAUGUGAUGCCAAAUUAUUUCUGCCUUGGUGGCAGCACCUACCAUCUAACCUGGAAAAAUGCUGCCACGGUCUUCCCUGCUAGGUGUGAUAGGAAAGAAGUGAAGGGCAGUGCUGGGGACCCUUUCCUGUAUUUAUAUUCCUGCAGUGAGACAAGGGAUGGCAUCUUGACUACACCAUUCCCUCUCUUUUUUAGGGGGAUAUACUAUUGUUAUUAAAGUAAAUGGUAAUUUUCUGUUACAGAUGAAAAUACAAAUAGUUGAGAAAA